AUGCUGUCGGCCCAGGGGAGCCUGGUAGCCAACCGAGGCCGGCGCUUCCAGUGGGCCAUUGAGCUGAGCGGGCCUGGAGGAGGCAGCAGGGGCCGAAGUGACAGGGCAGUGGCCAGGGAGACUCACUUUACCCAGUCGGUUACUUGGACAAGCAAGUGCCUGAUACCAGUGUGCAAGAGACAGACUGCAUCCUGGUGGAGAAGCGCUGCUGGGACAUUGCCUGGGGUCCCUUCAAACAGAUUCCCAUGAACCUCUUCAUCAUGUACAUGGCAGGCAAUACUAUCUCCAUCUUCCCUACUAUGAUGGUGUGUGUGAUGGCCUGGCAACCCAUUCAGGCACUUAUGGCCAUUUCAGCCACUUUCAAAAUGUUAGAAAGUUCAAGCCAGAAGUUUCUUCAGGGUUUGGUCUAUCUUAUUGGGAACCUGAUGGGUUUGGCUUUGGCUGUUUACAAGUGCCAGUCCAUGGGACUGUUGCCUACACAUGCAUCAGACUGGUCAGCCUUCAUUGAGCCUCCUGAGAGAAUGGAGUUCAGUGGUGGAGGACUGCUUUUGUGAACCUGAGAAAGCAGCACCUGGUGCCUAUGUAUUUGGGUCUUAUUUAUAUCCUCCUUUUUUGCCCAGUGGCUCCUCAUCAUACUCUUAAAAUAAUCACUCAUAUUGAAAAAAACCAAAAAGGUCUCUUCUUCAUGGUGAGGAGAUAGAUCCUACUAGGAGGACAAUGUUCACAUUAUUACAAACACAAAUAAACUGUACCACAACCCCUGACU